rnacentral:rRNA from 1 species
GCUUAUUUCGCGCAGCUUAGGUGGGAGACGUUGAACCUUUUCUUCCGGGAAAGGGGGAGUCAUCAGUGAGAUACCACACUUGGUAAGCUAGAGCGCUCAUUUUUAACCGUUAUCCGGUAAAAAGACAGUUUCAGGCGGGCAGUUUGACUGGGGCAGUCACCUCCCAAAAGGUAAUGGAGGUGUACAAAGGUUCUCUCAGGCUGGACGGAAAUCAGCCAUAGAGUGUAAAAGCAUAAGAGAGCUUGACUGCGAGACGGACAUGUCAAGCAGAGACGAAAGUCGGUUUUAGUGAUCCGACGGUGCUGAGUGGAAAGGCCGUCGCUCAACGGAUAAAAGUUACUCUAGGGAUAACA